UACGUAGGGGCCGAGCGUUGUCCGGAGUUAUUGGGCGUAAAGCGCGCGCAGGCGGCCUCGCGCGCCCGACGUGAAAGCCCCCGGCUUAACCGGGGAGGGUCGUUGGGGACGGCGGGGCUUGAGGGCGGGAGAGGGCGGUGGAAUUCCCGGUGUAGUGGUGAAAUGCGUAGAGAUCGGGAGGAACACCGGUGGCGAAGGCGACAUCCUGGACCGGUAUUGACGCUGAGGCGCGAAAGCCAGGGGAGCAAACGGG
rnacentral:rRNA from 1 species